ACUAGGUGUGGUGGCGCAUGCCCGUAAUCCCAGCAACUCGGGAGGCUGAGGCAGGAGGAUCUCAAGUUCAAAGCCAGCCUCAGCAAUUUAGUGAGGCCCUAAGCAACUCAGCGAGACCCUGUCUCUG
rnacentral:sRNA from 1 species